CUGUUUUAAAAGUUUAGCUUUAAGUUUUUCUUUGAGACAAUCAGAUGCUCAUAGCUAGCUAAUGCUAACAUUCCUACUGCAUUCCUCAACGUAGGCAGAAUGCAUAUAUCUUCAUCCUGAUGCGCCUGAUCCUCCUCCUCCUCCUCCUCCUCUCCCUCCUGGAUCAGCAGAAAACAGUUUGUCCAUGUCGUGGUUGUUAGGAGACCGCUGUCAGAUGAGGAGGUGGUGAUUAUGGGAGAUGCCCUGGCAUGCGUAGUGAGAUGCGUCGGCAGGAAUGACACACUGUUGCUACACUUUCAGUCUGCUGUCGUUGCCACAGAGACGUGCAUUCUGCCGCAGCAGUGAUGGGGAAGACCACCAUGUAGAGACAGAGAGGCAGCGGAGGCAACAGCAGAAUAGCAGCAAUGGGAAGCCACACAUGGAGCGGGUCUGGACUGCAGCCGUGGUGAGCCUGAGACCUACAGGACUUGCAACCACCAUCAUUGCCCUUCUCAGGACCUGACCACUGGGGCUGUCCAACACUCACCUGGAUGUUCCCAACUUGUGUUUCAUCAUCCCCUCCUCUCCUUGCUCUCUGCUACUCUUUCUCCUCUUCUUCUGUUUCUUCUCUUUGAUGGUUUUCAGUCUUCUGAUAUCUGAUUGUCUCUCCUGAAACAGAGAAGCUGUUCAUCAGUUUUUCCCCUUGGAUUUUUUUCCCCUUUUUUAAUAUCUCUGUCUGCCUACUUUACCUACAAGUGGCAUUCUUUUUUCCCUUUUUUGGU